rnacentral:rRNA from 1 species
GACGAACGCUGGCGGCGCGCCUAACACAUGCAAGUCGAGCGAUGAAAUUUUAACCGAUCUCUUCGGAGAGAAGAUAAAAUGGAUUAGCGGCGGACGGGUGAGUAACACGUGAGAAACCUGCCUUUCACAAGGGGAUAGCCUCGGGAAACCGGGAUUAAUACCCUAUGACACAUUUCCUUCGCAUGGAAGAAAUGUUAAAACUCCGGUGGUGAAAGAUGGUCUCGCGCCUGAUUAGCUAGUUGGUGGGGUAACGGCCCACCAAGGCCAUGAUCAGUAACCGGCCUGAGAAGGUGAACGGUCACAUUGGAACUGAGGCACGGUCCAAACUCCUACGGGAGGCAGCAGUGGGGAAUAUUGCACAAUGGAGGAAACUCUGAUGCAGCGACGCCGCGUGAGCGAUGAAGGCUUUCGAGUCGUAAAGCUCUGUCCUAUGGGAAGAUAAUGACGGUACCAUAGGAGGAAGCCCCGGCUAACUACGUG